rnacentral:rRNA from 1 species
GAUGAACGCUAGCGGCAGGCCUAACACAUGCAAGUCGAGGGGUAACAGAGAGAAGCUUGCUUUUUUGCUGACGACCGGCGCACGGGUGCGUAACGCGUAUACAAUCUGCCUUGUACUGGGGUAUAGCCUUUAGAAAUGAAGAUUAACACCCCAUAGUAUGUAAAUUUCGCAUGGAUUUUACAUUAAAGGUUACGGUACAAGAUGAGUAUGCGUCCUAUUAGUUAGUUGGUGUGGUAACGGCACACCAAGACAGCGAUAGGUAGGGGCCCUGAGAGGGGGAUCCCCCACACUGGUACUGAGACACGGACCAGACUCCUACGGGAGGCAGCAGUGAGGAAUAUUGGACAAUGGAGGGAACUCUGAUCCAGCCAUGCCGCGUGCAGGAAGACUGCCCUAUGGGUUGUAAACUGCUUUUAUACGGGAAGAAACAUCGCUACGUGUAGCGACUUGACGGUACCGUAAGAAUAAGGAUCGGCUAACUCCG